rnacentral:lncRNA from 1 species
UUUUGGACCUAAACGUAAAAACGUAAACUUUUGGGCCAAAGUGCAAAUACACAAAAAUAUCAAAACUUUAUGUAAUUGCAUAAAAGGCCCCAAAAGUACCCCCACUAGGGGGUGGCUGGUUUUGGAAGAAGAAAUGGAGUGAUGUGUGUAUUGAUUUGUGAGUUUUGACAUAAAGCAAUCAAGUGGUGCAAGUGGUGUGUGUGAAAGGAAAUUAAUCCUUACACACCCACCAAUAUCUCUUACACCAUUUAAACAAAUAUCUAAAACAUUUAAACAUUUGAAAAUCAUAAAACAUAAACUUUAUGAAAUAAAUCAAAACUUUGAAUCAAAACACAAAACUUUUUGUUCUUGGCUAAAAUGUCAAGAACAAUGAAGAACAUUCAUGAAAAACUCAAAAAAUUUCCAUGAACAUUUUUCACCCAAAAACAUUCCAAAACCAUUCAAACUUUAGGGAAAUAACAUAUAACCAAACUAGGGUACAUAGGGGUUCCAAAAGUCACUUUAAAACACUUUUAACAAGUCAAACAAGAACCCAAAAAAUCACCCUAUGUAUUUGGCCGAAUUUUCCCAAAAUCAUGGCACCAAAUUUUAGCUCCAAUAUUCAUGCUCAUAUGAACUACAUCUACAACAUUUGAGAUGACAAAUUUUCUAACAAAAUUUACAUUCAAAGAAACAAGAAUAAAGCUUGUAACAUAUUACAACUUUUAAAUCAAAACUAUGAACUACAAAACCCAAAAGGAUUCACCAACUACUAGACCUAGGCUCUGAUACCACUUGAAGGAUGAUU